rnacentral:rRNA from 1 species
GAACGGGAAUGCCACGCUGAUGCGAUUUCGGUCAAAUCAUGUGGCAUUCGAGUGGCGGACGGGUGAGUAACGCGUGGGUAACCUGCCUUACACAGGGGGAUAACACCUGGAGACAGGUGCUAAUACCGCAUAAGCGCACAGGGCCGCAUGGCCCGGUGUGAAAAACUCCGGUGGUGUAAGAUGGACCCGCGUCUGAUUAGCUUGUUGGCGGGGUAGGGGCCCACCAAGGCGACGAUCAGUAGCCGGCCUGAGAGGGUGGACGGCCACAUUGGGACUGAGACACGGCCCAAACUCCUACGGGAGGCAGCAGUGGGGGAUAUUGGACAAUGGGGGAAACCCUGAUCCAGCGACGCCGCGUGAGUGAAGAAGUAUUUCGGUAUGUAAAGCUCUGUCAGCAGGGAAGAAAGAAAUGACGGUACCUGACCAAGAAGCCCCGGCUAACUACGUGCCAGCAGCCGCGGUAAUACGUAGGGGGCAAGCGUUAUCCGGAAUUACUGGGUGUAAAGGGAGCGUAGACGGUGAUGCAAGUCUGGAGUGAAAGGCGGGGGCCCAACCCCCGGACUGCUCUGGAAACUGUGUAACUUGAGUGCAGGAGAGGUAAGCGGAAUUCCUAGUGUAGCGGUGAAAUGCGUAGAUAUUAGGAAAAACACCAUUAACNAAAACAACUUACUNCACUNUAACUNACNUUNANCCUCNAAANCNUNNNACCCUAAAAGGUANAUACCCNNUAUUCCACACCNUAAAAGCCCUAUAGGGUGUCGGUGGGUAUGGACCCACCGGUGCCGCAGCAAACGCAGUAAGUAAUCCACCUGGGGAGUACGUUCGCAAGAAUGAAACUCAAAGGAAUUGACGGGGACCCGCACAAGCGGUGGAGCAUGUGGUUUAAUCCGAAGCAACGCGAAGAACCUUACCAAGUCUUGACAUCUGGAUGACAGGGACGUAACGGUCCCCUUACUUCGGUACAUCCAAGACAGGUGGUGCAUGGUUGUCGUCAGCUCGUGUCGUGAGAUGUUGGGUUAAGUCCCGCAACGAGCGCAACCCUUAUCUUCAGUAGCCAGCAGGUAAAGCCGGGCACUCUGGAGAGACUGCCGGGGAUAACCCGGAGGAAGGUGGGGAUGACGUCAAAUCAUCAUGCCCCUUAUGAUUUGGGCUACACACGUGCUACAAUGGCGUAAACAGAGGGAAGCGAGCCCGCGAGGGGGAGCAAAUCCCAAAAAUAACGUCCCAGUUCGGAUUGUAGUCUGCAACCCGACUACAUGAAGCUGGAAUCGCUAGUA